rnacentral:pre_miRNA from 1 species
AAUAAAUGCAGUUGUGAAAAUUCGUGUCCAACGUUUGACUGUCCGUCUUAUUUAAAAAUUUUAUAAUUUUUUUUUAAAAAAUUAGUCACACAUAAAGUACUAUUCAUAUUUUAUCAUCUAAUAGCAAUAAAAAUAGUAAUCAUAUUUUUUUCAAAUAAAACGAACGGUUAAACGUUGGAGAUGAAUAGUGCAAAACUAUAUUUAUU